AAGAGGAGGAACCUCUGAAUUAAAAGAUACUUACAUAGAAUGGUGCAAUGGUUUGGAUAUUUGACCCCUCCAAAUCUUAUAUUGAAAUGUGAUCCCUAAUGUUGGAGGUAAGACCUAAUGGGAGGUGUUUGGGUCAGUGGGGGAUUCCUCGUGAAUUACUUGGUGCUGUCCUGGUGGGAAUUAGUCAGUUCUUGCUCUAUGAUCUGUAGUUUUAGUGGAGUGGUCAGGAAAGGUCUUACUGAGGAAGACCUUUGUACAUACAUGAAAAUUGUCCCUUGUUAUGCACGAAAUAUUUGUGUCUUCUCCAAACUGAUAUGUUGAAAUCCUAACCCCCAAUAUAAUGGUGUUUGAAGGUAGGGCCUUUGAUAAGCAAUUAGCGUUAGAUGUGGUCAUGACCGUGGGGACCUCAUAAUGGGAUUAGUACCCUUUAAAAAGAGAAGGAGGCAGGAGAUCUCUGUCUGCCCUCCUCUAUGUGAAGAUACAGUGAGAAGAUAGCCACAAAACAAUUUGCAAACCAGGAAGCAGGCCCUCACAGGAGACCAAAUCUGCUAGAGCCUUGACCUUGGACUUCCUGUCCUCCAGAAUUGUGAGACAUAAAUUAUUUUUUAAGCCAUUCAGUCUUUGGAAAUUUGUUAUAGUAGCUGAACUAAGACAACUCUGAUCCACCUCUCUUUGACACCUCCCACUCAACCAUUUGGUGUGCCCUCUAAUUACAUAGUGUAAUAUUUCUCAAUUUUAUUUCCUCCCUAACUACUAAUACCCAGGUUCAGACCUUAACAUCUCCUGUCUGGGUUACUGUAACAGUACCCUAUGGAAGUCUUCUUUGGAAGAAGAUUUAUUUCUUCCAAGGAAAUCUGCCUUUCUAUGGCUCAUUCCCUCCUGUCAUCUUCUUGUCUUCUCAAAUCAAUUUUCUACAAGGCCAUGUUAGAGAGUUAUCUGAAAGGCAUACCUGACCAUGUCAUUCUCCUAUUUAAGACUCAGCAAUGGUUUCCUUCUGCCAACAAGCUAAAGGCCGGAUGCCUUAACAAGGCAUUUCAUCCUCGUGUGGUCUGGCACUUGAUGACUGCCCCAACCCCAUCUCUCACCCAACUGGCCUUGACAUCAGUGUUCCAAAGUAGAAUUUCUCCCUCCAUAUGCAAUACCAUCCAGAAUGCUCAUAUCUCCCUGUUCAUGCCUGCGUCAAUCCUGUUUUUGAGUCAUCUUAGUAAUCACUUCCACUGGAUAAUUUUCAAAUUCUGUAUUAUGCACCCACCCCAGAUAGGCUGGGUGCCCUUGUCUGUGGUUCCAUGAAACUAUGUACACACAUUCUUCAAUCACAUUGUUUUCCACAUUGUUCUGAAAUGAUCCAGGAAGACCCCAUUCUCCCAAUGGACUAUGAAUUUUCUGAGCAGAGAAGCACAUCUUAUUCCUUUUUGCAUCUUGGCUGCAACCAAGUAAUCAGUGACUUCAUUUGUGUUCUGAUCCUCCCAUUCUCUUCUCCUCACUGAUCUCAGUAGGCUAACCAGGAUGAUUUAUAAUUUGCAGCUGAAAGACAGAGAUAGGAGACAGUCCUAUUUCAAGGCUGAUUUAAAUUCAGGUUAAAUGUCAGACAGUCACAGAUUCUUAGACUUGGCAUAACAAUU
rnacentral:lncRNA from 1 species